GAAGAAAAUAAGAUUCAAAAUCGAUUGCACAAUAAGAUUCAAAAUCGAUUUCUCUUUGUCAGCCACAAAGCCACAGACACAAAGAAACAAUGGCGGCUUUAAAUGCGGAGAAUGAAUACAUGGAAAUGGAUGUGGAGACUGAUGCUGAAGGAGCAAGUGAAUCGCAACCUAAUGCUACGGACCAUACGUGACAUUGAAGACAACUUUGAUGAUGGAGUUGAAGGUACUACAUCUGUGGCUAGUAGCUCAGGAGUAUGAGACCAAGAUUCCGAUAAGGUUUUGGAAGAAAGGAAGAAUGAGAAAAAAAAAUUGUUGUUGUUUUUG